CCUGCCAGAAGUGGGCUUGAACUGUACACAUCAUACAGCUAUCACCUCAAAGGCACGCUGUGACCCUCCAUUCAUGCUCCUUCAGAGAGGUCAAGAUUUAUGCCAUGGCUGUGAACCUGAUGUCAUGCUCUCUCCCUCCAGCAGCUGUCUCAACCUGCUACCUUUACAAGUUUCAAUUCUCAGGAGGGAAUAAAAAUGGGGAGAACAAAA